UUUUUUUUCUUGCAGUCCUAUUUUAAUCACUACAAACACUACAGGGUAAUGUUCAAUGAAUGGUUAUUGGAAGAGUCUACCUUUUUCUUUUUUUUUUUUUUUUCUCUUAAAGGAACAAUAUGCUAUUGAUCCAGUCACCUCCCCUGGUCCUGCCCUUGACACAUGGGGAUUAUGGGGAUUACAAUUCGAGGUGAGAUUUUGUUGGGCACACACAGCAAAACCAUAUUAUAGUGAUUAAAACAGAACAGUGGUGAGGAAGAGAUAGACAAGUAAAAAAAUGGGACAAAAUAGCAAGCUUUGAAACUAUUCCAUUCAUGGAUGCAAAUUGGAUUUACAGCCCAGUGGGCGUUGCUGGUUAGUGUGGGAAAAGAGAGCCCAUUUCAUUAAUAAUACUGGAAAACAUGGUCAUCUAUUUGAACAAUAAAAUAAAAUUGGACUCCUACAUCAUACUCUACACAAAUAAAUAUCAUGUAGAUUAAAGACUUAUCUGCAAGGGUAUAGGAAAAUAUCUUUAUAAUUGUAGUGGAGGAAAUAAUUUUUUAAUAAAAUCAUAAAAAGCAGAUAGCCUAAAGAAAAAGAUAAUUUAAAUGAUACAAAAAAACCAAAAACUUUACAGAGAGGGAA
rnacentral:lncRNA from 1 species